rnacentral:rRNA from 1 species
CUAACACAUGCAAGUCGGACGGUGGCACAGAGGAGCUUGCUCCUUGGGUGACGAGUGGCGGACGGGUGAGUAAUGUCUGGGGAUCCGCCCGAUAGAGGGGGAUAACCACUGGAAACGGUGGCUAAUACCGCAUAACGUCGCAAGACCAAAGAGGGGGACCUUCGGGCCUCUCACUAUCGGAUGAACCCAGAUGGGAUUAGUCCUAGUAGGCGGGGUAAUGGCCCCUAGGCGACGAUCCCUAGCUGGUCUGAGAGGAUGACCAGCCACACCGGAACUGAGACACGGUCCAGACUCCUACGGGAGGCAGCAGUGGGGAAUAUUGCACAAUGGGCGCAAGCCUGAUGCAGCCAUGCCGCGUGUAUGAAGAAGGCCUUCGGGUUGUAAAGUACUUUCAGCGGGGAGGAAGGCGGUGAGGUUAAUAAGCUCGACCCGAUUGAGCCGUUACCCGCAGAAGAAGCACCGGCUCCGUGCCAGCAGCCGCGGUAAUACGGAGGGUGCAAGCGUUAAUCGGAAUUACUGGGCGUAAAGCGCACGCAGGCGGUCUGUU